GAAUCUUCCACAAUGGGCGAAAGCCUGAUGGAGCAACGCCGCGUGAGUGAAGAAGGUUUUCGGAUCGUAAAACUCUGUUGUAAGGGAAGAACAAGUACAGUAGUAACUGGCUGUACCUUGACGGUACCUUAUUAGAAAGCCACGGCUAACUACGUGCCAGCAGCCGCGGUAAUACGUAGGUGGCAAGCGUUGUCCGGAAUUAUUGGGCGUAAAGCGGCCGCAGGCGGUCCUUUAAGUCUGAUGUGAAAGCCCACGGCUCAACCGUGGAGGGUCAUUGGAAACUGGGGGACUUGAGUACAGAAGAGGAAAGCGGAAUUCCAAGUGUAGCGGUGAAAUGCGUAGAGAUUUGGAGGAACACCAGUGGCGAAGGCGGCUUUCUGGUCUGUAACUGACGCUGAGGCGCGAAAGCGUGGGGAGCAAACAGGAUUAGAAACCCUUGUAGUCCAGAAGU
rnacentral:rRNA from 1 species